AGACUGGGGGAGAGGGCGCGCGAGCGGGAAGGCGAAUCGCUUCAACUGGGAAAAACGAAAAAAAGAAAAAGAAAAGAAAAGAAAAGAAAAGAAAAUCCCUCUUCUCUGUCUCUCUUCUCUACAAGACCGGGAAAAAGCAAAACCCUAGAUUUGAAAAAAAAAAAGCCCUAGUUCUCACUCAUCUCUAUCCAGAUCUCUGUUUCCAUGGAGAUUCAAACCCUGACCUGUCUCGAUCCCGUCGAUGCAUCUCUCACCAGCUGCUCGAGCAAUGCCUUCGAUUGCAAAGCUGUCGAGGAUUGCCGAUCUCUUCCGGGCGAGAAGCUGCAGCAGGAGAAGCUGGUAAUGGUCUGUGGAAUCUCUUCUAGUGAUGAGCAGACGAAAGCUGCUGUGACUGUGGAAGGCGCGAUGAAGAACGGCUCGUGUGAAGUUUCUCUGGAGCGGAGAGUUAGUACUAGGCUCCGGAACCGGCGGGAGAAGGAAAAAUCUGAUGACGGGAAACAGAAUGUUCGUGUGAACGAUGCUGAGAAGGUCGGGAAGAAGAGAGCUAGGGUCGAGAAGAAGCAAGUAUCGGAAGUUCCGGCGGUGGAUCCGAAAUGCGAUGAGCGGGUGGAGGCAGACCUGAAACGUGAUGGGCAUGUAGCGGCCAAUGAUUCCAAGCGAGGGGAUUCAGUAAAUGUAGUUGCUAAUGAGGGGGAAGAGAAUGUGGUAAUUGGCGGUGGCAGUUCGAGUGAUAUGGAGGAAAAGGGUGCUUAUUCUAGGGUGAUGAAGACACUUAGGAUCUUUAACAAUCAUUAUCUUCACUUUGUUCAGGAAGAAGAGAAAAGGUGUAAGAGAGCAGAAACUGGUGAUAGGAAAAUCUCUAAUGCAUCAGGAGCUAAGGGAAAGAAGAAAGCAUCCAAGAAACUAAAAGUUGGUGAGGGGAAGACUGCUAAAGCUUCAAAAUCUAAGGGGGAAAGCGCAAAUGUGGAGGAUAUCAAGCGGUCUUCGAAGAGACCUGAUUUGAAGGCAAUUUCUCGAAUGAUAGAGACUAAGGCUAUUUUGUACCCUAAAGGAAGAUUGGGUCACCUUCCAGGCAUCGAUGUUGGACAUCAAUUCCAUUCACGGGCAGAGAUGGUUGUUGUUGGUCUCCAUAGCCAUUGGCUGAAUGGAAUCGAUUUCUUGGGAGAAACCUUUAGGAAAUUGGAGAAAUACAAGUCUUACACUUUCCCACUUGCAGUAUCCAUAGUGAUGUCCGGCCAAUAUGAAGAUGAUGUAGAUAAUUCAGAAGACAUUGUUUAUACUGGUCAAGGUGGGAACAAUCUACUUGGUAACAAGCACCAAAUUCGGGAUCAAGAGAUGGCUCGCGGUAACUUGGCACUAAAGGUUUUCCUAAUGUAUAUGAUUCAUCUCAUCCAUACACAGAAUAGUAUGGAACAUGGUGUGCCUGUCAGAGUAACUCGUGGACAUUCAUCCGGGGAUAGCUAUUGUGGAAAGGUUUACACUUAUGACGGCUUGUACAAGGUUGUUCGAUACUGGGCUGAAAAAGGUGUUUCUGGAUACACAGUCUUUAAAUAUCGCUUAAGGCGGCUCGAAGGGCAGCCUGAUUUGACCACAAAUCAGGUUCACUUUACUCGAAAGCAAGUGCCUACAUCUCUUUCAGAACUGCGUGGGUUGGUAUGUGAGGACAUCAGCGGAGGUCAAGAAGCUAUUCCUAUACCAGCUACGAAUGAGGUUGAUGAUCCACCUAUUCCUCCAACAGGUUAUGUGUACCGUAAGUCUAUCCAAGUUCCAAAAGGCAUGAAGCUCCCUAUAGAUGCUAUGGAUGUUGUUGGGUGCGAAUGCAGAGGAACUUGCAUUGAUCCAAAGGUUUGUGCUUGUGCAAGACUUAAUGGCUCGGAGUUUCCAUAUGUGCGAAAAGAUGGUGGGAGGUUGGUUGAAGCCAAAGCUGUUGUAUUUGAAUGUGGACCUAAUUGUGGUUGUGGCGCUGAUUGUGUCAAUAGAACAUCUCAACGAGGAUUAAAGUACCGACUUGAGGUCUUCCGCACACCUAAGAAAGGAUGGGCUGUUAGAUCUUGGGAUUCGAUUCCUUCGGGUGCCCCAGUAUGUGAAUACACGGGGAUACUUAAAAGGACGGAUGAAUUGGAUCACGUUUCUGACAACAAUUUCAUUUUUGACAUCGAUUGCCUACAGACGAUGGAGGGUCUUGAUGGACGGGAGAGGCGAUUAGGAGAUGUCUCUUUUCAUACAAAGGCCCAUCUGGAGAGAAGUGAUGACAAGAAAUCAGAAAGUGUUCCGGAAUUUUGUAUUGAUGCAGGAUCGGUAGGCAAUGUUGCAAGAUUCAUUAAUCACAGCUGCCAACCGAAUCUCUUUGUCCAAUGUGUUUUGAGCACCCACCAUGACAUCAAACUUGCCCGAGUGAUGCUAUUUGCAGCUGAUAACAUACCUCCUCUACAGGAACUUUCAUAUGAUUAUGGCUAUGCGCUUGACAGUGUGGUGGGCCCAGACGGAAACAUAAAGACAAUGUCAUGUUAUUGUGGGGCAGCAGAUUGUCGGAAGCGUCUAUACUAGGUAACUAGUAUAUGCUUUCUGCCUGUAAUCAAAAUAACUCAAAAGUGCUUCCAAUGCGAGGGCUCUUCAGAUGUUUGUCCCUGAAGAAGAUAGUUUUUCAGAUGAUGAAGAGGUGGUGGAUCAUUGUGCGCAUUUGAGAGUUGGAGCAUGUCCUUUUGCAUUGCAUGAGUCAUGAGGCAGCCAUUCGGCGAGGGACCUGGCCUAGCAAACUCAAGAGUGCCGAAUAAGCCUAACCGGUUCAGCUAAAAAUGGCCCACGCAGGGCCAUGAUGACCUUGCCUGGUGAAAUUAUAAUUCUGGUUGUUUCUGAUUCUGGGAAUGUAUUUUUGGGUUAUACAUAGAAUAGCUUUCAAACAUUCCAUUUUCAUAGGUAACUUAUGAUUCUCGUGGCUUGUUUGGAUGCACCCUUAUGAGAGUAGCUUCUUUUUUUCCACCUGUGGUAGCAAAUCAGCUAUUUUUUUCUUAAAGUAGUUUUGUAACCACCUUUGUUAAAGUCGCAUAUUAGCUUAAACUUACUGCCAUAAGU